rnacentral:rRNA from 1 species
UAGUCCACGCCCUAAACGAUGAGUGCUAAAAGUGGGUUAUUUUACCUGCUUUAAAGCUAACGCGUUAAGCACUCCGCCUGGGGACUACGGUCGCAAGACUAAAACUCAAAGGAAUUGACGGGGAUUCGCACAAGCGGUGAAGUAUGUGGUUUAAUUCGACGCAACGCGAAGAACCUUACCACACUUUGACAUGUAAAUCGUCGCUCUGUGAAGGCAGAGCUUCAGUUCGGCUGGAUUUAACACAGGUGUUGCAUGGCUGUCGUCAGCUCGUGUCGUGAGAUGUUGGGUUAAGUCCCGCAACGAGCGCAACCCUCGUCCUUAGUUGCCAUCAGUCUGGCUGGGCACUCUAAGGAAACUGCCGGUGAUAAGCCGGAGGAAGGUGGGGAUGUCGUCAAAUCAUCAUGGCCUUUAUGCCUAGGGCUACACACGUGCUACAAUGGUGCAUACAGAGGGUUAAUCCCUAAAAGGCGUCUCAGUUCGGAUUGUCCUCUGCAACUCGAGGGCA